rnacentral:lncRNA from 1 species
GCGGGGGCCGGCCCUGGCCGCUCCGCCUAUUGGGACUGGGGGGCCUGGGCCAGCCGUCGGCGCGGUGAUAAUGGGGCGCUGCCGUCUGGAGCCCCACGGCCACUGAAACCGCAGUGACACGACAUCGGUGGAAGGGACAGAGCAUUUCCAGGAGCAUCUACGCAGUCCAUGGCACCACGGGACUGGGUUGUAGGCACAGUUGGAAGGCGGCUUGGCAGCUUAAAACCCGGUGCCGUGCACCCGCUGGUCCAGUGCGGGUUUUAUAAAUGACGGAAACACAGCGGUAGUGAGCAAGCAGAAAACGUGAGGUGAUGAAGUGAGCUGCCGCCUUUGGGCGAUUUGUGCGGAGCGCUCCUCCAGCUCAGUGAGCGCGGAUCAAAGAACGCCAGCGUCGAGGUGCUUCCGAGCCCAACUCACCGCUCCCCGAGCAGCAAGGCCCCACAUCGCUUCCCCGAAAGCUCCCGGCGCUUCCCGACCCCCCCGUGGCCCCGAGCCCCCGGCAUCCGAAAGGUGCCCGGUUCCCCUGCACCAUCGCACACCGCAAGCCGAACUCCGCCGAGCUGCCCCGAGCCCUCCGCCCCCGCCGCACGCAGCGCGGAGCCUCCCCGGGCUCACAGAGGAGCCGGGAGGACACCGCGGAGCUCCCGACCCCGCGGCUGCUGAGGGAGCAGAGCGGCGUGCGGGAUCCCGGGCGCAGGAACAACGUAAUCGAGAUCGGAGCCGCUCAUUGUACAUGAAGAUUAAUUCAGCAUUACAAAGAUCUCACAGAUCACUGAGAUCGCUAAGAUCACAAAGCGGUUGUGUUUUUCUCAGUGAAAUUAAAAUACGUUUGGACUGCACCAGGAGCUGUCAUUACGGCUUUCCUGCCCUUCCGUUCAAGGCUGAGCUGCACAGGACCAAGCACAGAGCGGUGCCUGGGGCCGGGCAGAGCUCCCCAAGCCUGCAUUUCCAAGAACACAAAUCCUGUCCGUUUUUAUACUUAAGUACGUGCAAGUAAUUAAAAAAAAAAAAAAAAAAGCUUUAUACAAUGCUGGAUCCACUCCAAAAGAUCAGGCAUCUGAACUGAACUAAACAAUUCGAGGCAGCCCAUUUGUGCUGGUUUUAUGUCAGAGGAGCCACGACAAAUUUGUACUGGUGCAAGGUAUAUCGGGACAAGCUAGAUAGAUGCUAAAGUUAUGGCUUUGUGAAGGACACUCAUGUAACCAUACAACUAAAGCCAAUCCCAACGAUGCCGGGAUGAAAUGGAUUUCCUCUUUGCCACCACUCAGCUCCCAGACUAUGCUUACUAAGGCCAGAAUGAAAGAAUCUAAUAAAAUAUGCUCUAGAAGGUGGACUAUACUACUA